rnacentral:rRNA from 1 species
UACGUAGGGGGCAAGCGUUGUCCGGAAUUAUUGGGCGUAAAGAGCGCGUAGGCGGUCCGGUAAGUCGGCUGUGAAAGUCCAGGGCUCAACCCCGGAAAGCCGGCCGAUACUGUCGGACUAGAGUCCGGAAGAGGCAAGUGGAAUUCCCGGUGUAGCGGUGAAAUGCGCAGAUAUCGGGAGGAACACCAAUUGCGAAGGCAGCUUACUACAGGGACAUUGACACUGAGGCACGAAAGCGUGGGGAUCAAACAGG